UGUUUGGAUGGACCUAGGAGAUCUUGCUCA
rnacentral:piRNA from 1 species